rnacentral:rRNA from 1 species
UUGAGAGUUUGAUCCUGGCUCAGAACGAACGCUGGCGGCAGGCUUAACACAUGCAAGUCGAGCGCACUUUUGGUCUUCGGAUUAAAAGCGAGCGGCGGACGGGUUAGUAACGCGUGGGAACGUACCCUUUUCUAAGGAAUAGCCUCGGGAAACUGAGAGUAAUACCUUAUACGCCCUUCGGGGGAAAGAUUUAUCGGAGAAGGAUCGGCCCGCGUUAGAUUAGAUAGUUGGUGGGGUAAUGGCCUACCAAGUCUACGAUCUAUAGCUGGUUUUAGAGGAUGAUCAGCAACACUGGGACUGAGACACGGCCC